rnacentral:rRNA from 1 species
GAGUGGCGGACGGGUGAGUAACACGUGGGUAACCUACCCUUAAGUGGGGGAUAACAUUUGGAAACAGAUGCUAAUACCGCAUAACCAUUCAGGCCACAUGGUCUGAAUGUAAAAGACGGCCUUUGGCUGUCACUUUUGGACGGACCCGCGGCGUAUUAGUUAGUUGGUAAGGUAACGGCUUACCAUGACAAUGAUACGUAGCCGACCUGAGAGGGUAAUCGGCCACAUUGGGACUGAGACACGGCCCAAACUCCUACGGGAGGCAGCAGUAGGGAAUCUUCCACAAUGGACGAAAGUCUGAUGGAGCAACGCCGCGUGAGUGAAGAAGGUUUUAGGAUCGUAAAACUCUGUUGUUGGAGAAGAACAGGGACUAGAGUAACUGUUAGUCCUUUGACGGUAUCCAACCAGAAAGCCACGGCUAACUACGUGCCAGCAGCCGCGGUAAUACGUAGGUGGCAAGCGUUGUCCGGAUUUAUUGGGCGUAAAGCGAGCGCAGGCGGUUUUUUAAGUCUGAUGUGAAGGCCUUCGGCUUAACCGAAGAAGUGCAUUAGAAACUGGGAAACUUGAGUGCAGAAGAGGACAGUGGAACUCCAUGUGUAGCGGUGAAAUGCGUAUAUAUAUGGAAGAACACCAGUGGCGAAGGCGGCUGUCUGGUCUGUAACUGACGCUGAGGCUCGAAAGUAUGGGGAGCGAACAGGAUUAGAUACCCUGGUAGUCCAUACCGUAAACGAUGAAUGCUAAGUGUUGGAGGGUUUCCGCCCUUCAGUGCUGCAGCUAACGCAUUAAGCAUUCCGCCUGGGGAGUACGACCGCAAGGUUGAAACUCAAAGGAAUUGACGGGGGCCCGCACAAGCGGUGGAGCAUGUGGUUUAAUUCGAAGCAACGCGAAGAACCUUACCAGGUCUUGACAUCCUUUGACCACUGUAGAGAUACAGCUUUCCCUUCGGGGACAAAGUGACAGGUGGUGCAUGGUUGUCGUCAGCUCGUGUCGUGAGAUGUUGGGUUAAGUCCCGCAACGAGCGCAACCCUUAUGACUAGUUGCCAGCAUUUAGUUGGGCACUCUAGUAAGACUGCCGGUGACAAACCGGAGGAAGGUGGGGAUGACGUCAAAUCAGCAUGCCCCUUAUGACCUGGGCUACACACGUGCUACAAUGGUCGGUACAACGAGUUGCGAACCCGCGAGGGUAAGCUAAUCUCUUAAAGCCGAUCUCAGUUCGGAUUGUAGGCUGCAACUCGCCUACAUGAAGCCGGAAUCGCUAGUAAUCGCGGAUCAGCACGCCGCGGUGAAUACGUUCCCGGGCCUUGUACACACCGCCCGUCACACCAUGAGAGUUUGUAACACCCGAAGUCGGUGGGGUAACCCUUUUAGGGAACUAGCCGCCUAAGGUGGGACAGAUGAUUGGGGUGAAGUCGUAACAAGGUAGCCGUAGGAGAACC